GACACGGAACUGGUGGGAUCGCACCAUGGCCUGGGCCCCUCUGCUCCUCGUGGUGCUCGCCCACAGCUCAGGUUCCCUGGUCCAGGCAGCGCUGACUCAGCCACCCUCGGUGUCAGUGAAGCCGGGAGAAACGAUCAAGAUCACCUGCUCUGGGAGUGGUAGCAGCUAUCCAUAUGUUGGCUGGAUCCAGCAGAAGGUGCCUGGUCGUGCCCCUGUCACUGUGAUCUAUGAUAACACCAACAGACCCUCGGACAUCCCUUCACGAUUCUCCGGAUCCAAGUCUGGCUCCACGGGCACGUUAACCAUCACUGGGGUCCAAGCCGAGGACAAGGCUGUCUAUUUCUGUGGUGGCUGGGACAGCAGUGGUGCUGGUGUCAUGGUGCAGAGAGAUGUUGAAGUGAGCUACAGAGAAGCUAAAAAUGGAGCUUUUCUGUCCUUCUUCCUCCUGGCUCGGCAGGGCUGGGGAGCCGGGCAGGUUCAUGUUCUCUCCUUAUGGUCACAGCUGUACCUAUAG